CCUACAGAUAGGCUACGAGCCGUAUCUGGAUGAGAUGGAGCGACGAGGCUCCGAAAGUUCGGAUGGCGAAGCAGAAGGCGCUGUCGGUGGUGCUGCUGUGACAGACGGCGGGAUGCCAAGAGACGUUGGCAGGCUGCAGCGCGUGGAAUGGUGUUCUUGUGGGAGGUGUGCGCCGAUGCAAACAGUAAAGGGCUGUGUGCUGCCGUGAGCAGCCCAAAGUGUGCGCCAGGAGAGAAGAGGAGCGGAAACACAUCCGCUGCGUAACAGAACAUUCUGGCUUUCAGCCCGUUUGUCUGAACGAGCACGUUCUCCGCACCGCAUAUUUCCACUACCGGCAAGACUACGGGGACGUAGAGGGAAACGAGUGGAAGAGAUAUACUGCAUAUAGACAAUUUGUUAGAUUUUGCUAUGACUACCUGGGAAUACACGCCAAGGUCCCCUUACCUUCCUUUGUGGUGUGGUCCAUCCGGAGAACUUUUCCCUCUACAGAUUACAGGGGGUUCCAGGACAACAGCCCGUGAUGUUGCUCAUGCACAAGUGUUGGUAAAUAAAUGACAAUGAAUGUCAAUACAUGUUACCUGUAGCUUCACAUGAAUGUGUCUUCAUUUUACAACUCACAACAGCGUACAACAAAUAGGCCUAGGGGGCGGCAAAAUACAACCUCACCAGUGGCGGUUUUAGAACGUCUGAGGUCCUAGGCAAAGAACA